UCUCAUUUCAUUUUGUCAACAGGCCUUAUGUUUACAUGACAAAAUUAGAAGAACUCCAUUUUUAUUUGUAACCACCUUUUCUAGACUCUCGAACGGAGUUAGCUAGUAAGUCUUGGAAUCAUAAUAGUGUAUUGUUUGUUACAUGGACUGAAACUAUUCUCGUGUCAAUGUAAUGAGAAAUGACUGAGAUAAUAGCCAAAAACUAGUUUUUUAACAUUAAUUUUGUAACCACCUUUUUGAGACUUCUGCACCAGGUAUGAACAAGUUACUACUUUGAGUGUAUUCAUUAAGGCCUCUUAUAUAGACUGUUUAUGGUUUCAUUUUUCUAGAUGCUAUGUUUCAAAAUGAGAACUGAGUAGUGAAAGAAUAGGUUAUUUACCAAGAAACACAAGCAGGAUUUCAGUGGCAUUGAUGAGACAUUGUUACAUGAUUGUAAAGCUUUAUAUUUAUGCUACCACAGAGAACUAUCAAGAUAGAGAUGAUGUACAUUACAGUAUGUACUGUAUGGUGAUACAUUAAAAUUUGUUGAAGGACUCAUAAUAAUAAUAAAUCUAUU
rnacentral:lncRNA from 1 species